AGUUCGCGAAGAAACACGAAAGAGACUACAUAAGUCCAUCUAUCCAAAUUCGAGGGUCGGAAUCAAGUGUUAUCCGAGAAUUGUCUCAGCGAGACUCGAUCUAAUAACGGAUCGCAGAAGAAUAUUUAAAAUAAUCAAAGGAGCGAUUGUGAUAUUUUCUUUGCAAUCGGACAAGAUUUCGACACAAAAAAAACAUACAUUAGGUUCAACUAGAAAAAUCACAAUGAUCUAGUGAUAAUAUUACUUCUUUGGUGUUAGUAAAAAAAACAUAUUUAAAACAAAUGUGUUUAUAUCUAUAUUGUA